rnacentral:sRNA from 1 species
AGAACAUAGGGUACUCCGAGUGAAGAAUUCAGCAGCUAAGUGGAAGUUGUCUUCUAUUCCACUUUAAAUACUUUUAUCUACUGAAUCUCAAGAAAAUUGGGUUUCUGGUGCUGUCUGUGGUUCAUGAGAAAAAAUCCCAAGAAGGAAAGCCAAAAGAACACACAGAGCCAAAAAGCCUACCCAAGCAGGCAUCAGAUACAGGAAGUAAGGAUGCUCACAAUAAAAAAGCAGUUUCCAGAUCAGCUGAACAGCAGCCAUCAGAGAAAUCAACAGAACCAAAGACUAAACCACAAGACACGAUUUCUACUGGUGGAGAGAGUGUUGCUGGUGUCACUGCAAUAUCUGGCAAGCCGGGUGACAAGAAAAAAGAAAAGAAAUCAUUAACCCCAGCUGUGCCAGUUGAAUCUAAACCGGAUAAACCAUCGGGAAAGUCAGGCAUGGAUGCUGCUUUGGAUGACUUAAUAGAUACUUUAGGAGGACCUGAAGAAACUGAAGAAGAAAAUACAACGUACACUGGACCAGAAGUUUCAGAUCCAAUGAGUUCCACCUACAUAGAGGAAUUGGGUAAAAGAGAAGUCACAAUUCCUCCAAAAUAUAGGGAACUAUUGGCUAAACCCAUGGGGCCAGAUGAUGCUAUAGACGCCUUGUCAUCUGACUUCACCUGUGGGUCGCCUACAGCUGCUGGAAAGAAAACUGAAAAAGAGGAAUCUACAGAAGUUUUAAAAGCUCAGUCAGCAGGGACAGUCAGAAGUGCUGCUCCACCCCAAGAGAAGAAAAGAAAGGUGGAGAAGGAUACAAUGAGUGAUCAAGCACUCGAGGCUCUGUCGGCUUCACUGGGCACCCGGCAAGCAGAACCUGAGCUCGACCUCAGCUCAAUUAAGGAAGUCGAUGAGGCAAAAGCUAAAGAAGAAAAACUAGAGAAGUGUGGUGAGGAUGAUGAAACAAUCCCAUCUGAGUACAGAUUAAAACCAGCCAUGGAUAAAGAUGGAAAACCACUAUUGCCAGAGCCUGAAGAAAAACCCAAGCCUCGGAGUGAAUCAGAACUCAUUGAUGAACUUUCAGAAGAUUUUGACCGGUCUGAAUGUAAAGAAAAACCAUCUAAGCCAACUGAAAAGACAGAAGAAUCUAAGGCCACUGCUCCAGCUCCUGUGGCGGAGGCUGUGUCUCAGACCUCCAUGUGUAGUAUACAGUCAGCACCCCCUGAGCCGGCUGCCUUGAAGGGCACAGUGCCAGAUGAUGCUGUAGAAGCCUUGGCUGAUAGCCUGGGGAAAAAGGAAGCAGAUCCAGAAGAUGGAAAACCUGUGAUGGAUAAAGUCAAGGAGAAGGCUAAAGAAGAAGACCGUGAAAAGCUUGGUGAAAAAGAAGAAACAAUUCCUCCUGAUUAUAGAUUAGAAGAGGUCAAGGAUAAAGAUGGAAAGCCACUCCUGCCAAAAGAGUCUAAGGAACAGCUUCCACCCAUGAGUGAAGACUUCCUUCUGGAUGCUUUGUCUGAGGACUUCUCUGGUCCACAAAAUGCUUCAUCUCUUAAAUUUGAAGAUGCUAAACUUGCUGCUGCCAUCUCUGAAGUGGUUUCCCAAACCCCAGCUUCAACGACCCAAGCUGGAGCCCCACCCCGUGAUACCUCGCAGAGUGACAAAGACCUGGAUGAUGCCUUGGAUAAACUCUCUGACAGUCUAGGACAAAGGCAGCCUGACCCAGAUGAGAACAAACCAAUGGAAGAUAAAGUAAAGGAAAAAGCUAAAGCUGAACAUAGAGACAAGCUUGGAGAAAGAGAUGACACUAUCCCACCUGAAUACAGACAUCUCCUGGAUGAUAAUGGACAGGACAAACCAGUGAAGCCACCUACAAAGAAAUCAGAGGAUUCAAAGAAACCUGCAGAUGACCAAGACCCCAUUGAUGCUCUCUCAGGAGAUCUGGACAGCUGUCCCUCCACUACAGAAACCUCACAGAACACAGCAAAGGAUAAGUGCAAGAAGGCUGCUUCCAGCUCCAAAGCACCUAAGAAUGGAGGUAAAGCGAAGGAUUCAGCAAAGACAACAGAGGAAACUUCCAAGCCAAAAGAUGAUUAAAGAAAUACAAGUUAAGGUAUCUGGUAUCUGCAUGUAAAAUCUUCAGCUGGUGGAUGGUGAUUUUUGAAGAACAAAAGGCUUUGGCAACAGAAAACAAUUGUUCUGGGUGAUUUCUAGAAUGGUUUUUGUUGAGUCUCUGAACAUCCUAAAUAUUGGUUUGUUAUUCUUUUCCAGAAAGAAAAUGAAUUUGACUGGUUCACCUG